CACAAAAGUUCAAUUCAUAUCCUAAAAGUUCAAUUCAUACACAAAAAUUUCAAUUCAUAUCCUAAAGGUUCAAUUCAUAUCCUAAAAGUUCAAUUCAUACACAAAAAUUUCAAUUCAUAUCCUAAAGGUUCAACUCAUAUCCACAAAAGUUCAAGUCAUAUCCUAAAAUUUCAAUUUAUAAACUAAAAUUCCAAUACAUAAACCAAAAUUUUCAAUUCAUAUCCUAAAGGUUCAAUUCAUAUCCUAAAGGUUCAACUCAUAUCCACAAAAGUUCAAGUCAUAUCCUAAAAUUUCAAUUUAUAAACUA
rnacentral:lncRNA from 1 species